rnacentral:rRNA from 1 species
UACCAGCACCCCGAGUGGUCGGGACGUUUAUUGGGCCUAAAGCAUCCGUAGCCGGUUCUACAAGUCUUUCGUUAAAUCCACCUGCUUAACAGAUGGGCUGCGGAAGAUACUAUGGAGCUAGGAGGCGGGAGAGGCAAGCGGUACUCGAUGGGUAGGGGUAAAAUCCGUUGAUCCAUUGAAGACCACCAGUGGCGAAGGCGGCUUGCCAGAACGCGCUCGACGGUGAGGGAUGAAAGCUGGGGGAGCAAACCGG